rnacentral:rRNA from 1 species
GUCUAUUUGUAGAUAUAAAAAGUCUAGCCUGCUCACUGAAUUAUUUUUAAGAGCCGCGGUAUUUCUGACUGUGCAAAGGUAGCAUAAUCGUUAGUUUUUUAAUUGAAAUCUUGUAUGAAUGGUUUGACAAAAAAAAGACUGUCUUUAUUAUUAUUAAUUGAAUUUAACUUUUAAGUGAAAAGGCUUAAAUAAAUUAAAAAGACGAUAAGACCCUAUAAAGCUUUAUAUUAAUUUAUUAUCUAAUAAAAUUUUUUUUAUAAAUAUUUGGUAAUAAAUUUUAUUUUAUUGGGGUGAUAAUGGUAAAAUGAUUAAUAACUGUUAAUUUUGUUAAAACAAAAAUAAAUGAAUAAAAUUAAUGAUUGAGUAAAUGAUCCUAUUUAAAGAUUUAAAGUUUAAGUUACUUUAGGGAUAACAGCGUAAUUUUUUUUGAGAGUUCUUAUCGAGAAAAAAGUUUGCGACCUCGAUGUUGAAUUAAAACAUCUAUAUAAUUGUAGCAGUUAUAUAAGAAGGUCUGUUCGACCUUUAAAUUUUUACAUGAUUUGAGUUCAAACCGGUGUAAG